CACCAGCCCCCCGAGUGGUGGGGAUGAUUAUUUGGCCUAAAGCGUCCGUAGCCGGCCCGGUAAAUCUCUCGUUAAAUCCAGCGUCCCAAGCGUUGGGCUGCGAGGGAGACUGCCAGGCUAGAGGGUGGGAGAGGUCAGCGGUAUUCCUGGGGUAGGGGCGAAAUCCAUUGAUCCCAGGAGGACCACCAGUGGCGAAGGCUGCUGACUAGAACACGCCUGACGGUGGGGGACGAAAGCUGGGGUAGCGAAUCGGAUUAGAUACCCGAGUAGUCCCAGCCGUAAACGAUGCAGGCUAGGUGUUGGGGCGGCCACGCGCCGCCUCAGUGCCACAGGGAAGCCAUUAAGCCUGCCGCCUGGGGAGUACGGCCGCAAGGCUGAAACUUAAAGGAAUUGGCGGGGAGCACCACCAGGCGUGAAGCCUGCGGUUU
rnacentral:rRNA from 1 species